GUGAAUGUUUGUUUACUAGUGAGUUACCGUAGGAAGGUGAAAGGAGCGCUUCAUUUGUCUACACGCACAACACUACUAACAAUUAACACAAUCUGUAGAGGUGAUUUUUUUCAAUUUCUUUGUUGCACCUCUGCUAUAUGGAAAAAUGAACCAUAAUAUGACAAAAACAUAUACGACUUACGUUCCGAAGAAAACACUGGUGAAACUUCCAGAAUGGUACGCCUUCUUUAAGCAGACUUUGGAUGUCGUAGUACAUUGGUGAUGGUGCACUUCCAGAAUGCCGAGUGGGAGUAGGCUAGUCAAGCAGAAGCGCUCUUGCCCACAGUCUGAUAUGCCUGCAGGGCCAGCUCGAUGUAGCCUGACCUCUGGGACUCGUUCUGGGAGUAGAUCUGCACAGACGGAUGUCAAGCAAACCAAGCCUGCCACAAAAUACAUUGCUGUGACUUUCAGUGUCACCAAUACAUCAGGGCCAAAGAGUGGUGACUACCGCUGCGAUAUGAUGUGAUCUAAACCUGGACCCUGCAGUCCUGACGGGAAUCAACACGACCUUGACUUCUGCUCUUAACAGCAAGGCUGCGAGCAUUAGCACCUGGGAACGACUUUUAUCAACCCCGGACAGUUCUGUCAUUCACAAGGUCAACAUUUAAUAACCACGGUUGCUUCUUUCUCACCAUGAGAAGGUCGGUACCCGUGGCCCGCUGCCUGGAAGCUUCCUGGGCCGACUCACUGUGAGGGUGUACGAGGUGGAAGAGCGAUACAAGGCUCACUGCAUCCUGCACCCUGAAACACAAAAACAUGUUUCUUUUACCUUACGGGGAUUUACAUUGGCUUGUUUUUAAACACAGAAAUCUGCAGAACAUAAAUUAUGGUUUCAGGCAAUAUUCAAGCAAUGUUUUCAAGCAAUAUACGCAUUACAUUUGUACUGUACCAAACAGAGACUUUAACGUAUCAAUGGGAUGUCAAAAUAUACUGAAUCAAGACUUAACUCUUAGCAUGUAAACAUUGUCAUACUCACAACUCCUUUUUCAGCAUGUCCACAAUGAGGCCAUCGAUCCUGCGUGCAUUGACCAGGUACCAGGCCAUGCCUCCAAAGUGCCUGGUGGAGCGAAGCAGCUCAUAUUUCGCAUGUUUAUCCAGAUCCUCAUAGGUGGCAGCAUGCACCUGAUACACACAAUAGUAAAUACAUUUCCUAUCUUUUGCUUUCAUAUUCUGCAAGAGAUGAAGAAACCGAAAGAUGCCAGUAUUGACAAUCUACAAGUCAAGUUUAAUGUUAGUUUGGCCUGUGAUCUUAAGUCACAAUAGAUACAGUAAGAGGCACUUUAAUUGGGCAAGCAAUAGCAAACGCUGAACUCGCAGUGAGUGAGGCAGUGAGCUUGUCACACAAUCACUUGACAUAACAUUACAAUUAUAAUCAUGUGGCAAGAACAAAAAUGACAUGAAAAUGAAAUAAACACAGUUAGGACAACUACUACUAUUACUACUAAGGAUGUAAUGAUUACUGGUGCCUAUUUGGAACCCUUUUUUAUGAAACACUUGAUGCGACCCAGCCUCACCCAUCCAAGUUGAGUUUGAGACCCCUGGUCUAAAGGUAUAGCUUACCUUGAUGUACUGUGAUGAGUCAGGUUCAAAUUGGACCAGGCACAGGUCCAACACUUCCCCGUGUCGGUCCUGAGAGAAUACCAUCUAAAUAAAAGUACAAGUAGGUUACAUUUAAAUAUAUAUAUAUAUAUAUUUAUUCCUUGAGGGCGUAAUAUUCUUAAGCCAUUUGCUAUAACUCCCAUAAAGACUAGAGAGGGGAAAAUAAGGGAAUCUGAAACAGUUUAGUGAUUAUGUUACAAUAUUUGACUUUGCCAAAACUUACCUUUAGGUUCUCCUCCUUAAAGAGGAGAGGUGUGGUAAUUUUGCGUCCAUCUUUUGGGAAGUACACCUGAAUGAGGCGAUCUCUUUCAUCCCAGGUUGCUUUCCUUAGAGUCCCGUUGGUCUCCCUGACAACAAUGAACCUUUCCUAACAGAAAAAAAAAAUAUUUUGAUUUAUUACAUGUAAUCAAAACUAAGAAAGAGACAAACCUAACAGAGGAACCCAAUUACAUAUGAUUUCCGUACAAAUGACAUUCAUACACUUAUAGUAGUGAUACAGUAAUACAUUUUUACUGUGAUGGCCGCCUGAUACCGAUCCUCUGAUACAUAAAUAUUAAAAAGGGACCUAUUAUGCUGAAAUGCGCAAAAGGCGUAUCUGGCUUACAGCCAUGCCCAUAUAAGGAAGUCCACUCCUCUAUGACAUCACAAAGGGGCAGUUUUCUCACGCCUUUUGAAACCGAGCAUUUUGAGCCAUCCCAAACUUCUUUCAGGGCUCACUUCCAAAUGCACAAACCUCAUUAUCUGAAACUUUGGCGUCGUUUAACACGGAAACACAACAUUCUAACUACAUGUAUAGGUCAGAAAAGGGGAUAGAUACCCUUUAAUGUGUGUGUGUAUUUAUUUAUUAUCCCCUUUCAUUACACUUCUAGACUAGUGCAAGUUCUGACUACUUUUUGCAUUAUUGAUAGGAGAGCAAUGGAACAGUGCGAUUGCAUUAGAUCAGUGCAGGCAUACCGCGCUUAAUGAAAGUGCGUGUACAUACUCUGUGUGGAAUGUUGUAGGUUAUGUCCGUAAAGACAUAUUUGGCUGUGUCC